ensembl:snRNA U1 U1 spliceosomal RNA
ACACUUACCUGGCAGUGGAGACACCAUGAUCAGGAGGGUGGGUUUCCUGGGGCAAACUUACCCAUUGCACUCCUCAUGCUGACCUCUAUGAUUUUCCCAAAUGUGUGAAAUGUGACUGCAUAAUUUAGGGUAGUGGGGGACUGUAUUUGUAAAGUAGUAUGGUAUAGCCACUGU